rnacentral:rRNA from 1 species
AUACGGAGGGUGCAAGCGUUGUCCGGAUUUAUUGGGUUUAAAGGGUGCGUAGGCGGAUCUUUAAGUCAGUGGUGAAAUCCUGCAGCUUAACUGUAGAACUGCCAUUGAUACUGGAGAUCUUGAGUACACUAGAAGUAGGCGGAAUUUAUGGUGUAGCGGUGAAAUGCAUAGAUACCAUAAAGAACACCGAUAGCGUAGGCAGCUUACUGGAGUGUAACUGACGCUGAGGCACGAAAGCAUGGGGAGCGAACAGGAUUAGAAACCCCGGUAGUCC